GUCAGGAUGGCCGAGUGGUCUAAGGCGCCAGACUCAAGGUUGUCUACCUUCGUUAUUUACGAGUGUUCUGGUCCACGUAUGUGGGCGUGGGUUCAAAUCCCACUUCUGACA
rnacentral:tRNA from 1 species